rnacentral:rRNA from 1 species
UGGGGAAUAUUGCACAAUGGGCGCAAGCCUGAUGCAGCAACGCCGCGUGAGGGACGACGGCCUUCGGGUUGUAAACCUCUUUUAGUAGGGAAGAAGCGAAAGUGACGGUACCUGCAGAAAAAGCACCGGCUAACUACGUGCCAGCAGCCGCGGUAAUACGUAGGGUGCGAGCGUUGUCCGGAAUUAUUGGGCGUAAAGAGCUCGUGGGCGGUCUGUCGCGUCUGCUGUGAAAACCCGAGGCUCAACCUCGGGCCUGCAGUGGGUACGGGCAGACUAGAGUGCGGUAGGGGAGAAUGGAAUUCCUGGUGUAGCGGUGGAAUGCGCAGAUAUCAGGAGGAACACCGAUGGCGAAGGCAGUUCUCUGGGCCGUAACUGACGCUGAGGAGCGAAAGCGUGGGGAGCGAACAGGAUUAGAUACCCUGGUAGUCUACGCCGUAAACGUUGGGCGCUAGAUGUGGGGACCAUUCCACGGUUUCCGUGUCGCAGCUAACGCAUUAAGCGCCCCGCCUGGGGAGUACGGCCGCAAGGCUAAAACUCAAAUGAAUUGACGGGGUCAUAGCUG